UACUAAAAAACGUACAUGAGCAACAUACCUCUGAAGCCAUUUAUACCCGGUCUUCUUAAACUACCGCACUUUGUUUCUAUCCAGAUUAAACGAGAAACGAGAUGAAGAAAUCGUCGUAUUCUUACUUUGUCUCGACCAAGUAACUGUCUUAUCACAGUGAUUAAUUAAGGAGAUCAUUUCUUGUCCCAGAUCUGGCAGCGCUUGCGGCUCCACGCGGUAGAUGUGGUCCCGGAGAUGCUGUUCCGGCGGAUGCAGACGGAGUACCGAAGGAUCCGGUUCGGGCCUAACAGCGUCGGCUCAAAGAUAGGUCUUACGGAGCUUGUGGUCAGAUGAAGGGUGCGGUUCCCGGGAAGUGUAGUUUCGGUGAAUGCCGGAGAAUCCAGUUCGGGCUGAGCAGGGUCGGCUCGAAGAUAUCGUUCAAAAACUUUUCGUAUUCUCGCACUUAACCACUUACGAUCGAAAAUUGGAACGUAGUUGUCCAAGUAAAAUUCGUUGAGUUACAAAUAGCAAAAGAACUGCAGCAAAAUGUGGCCGACCCUGAGGUCCUAGUAAUCGAUGAGUCAAGCACAAAGAACGAAAUAUAUACAGGGUGUCUGUGACGAUAAAACGUGUACGUGUACGUGUAGAGUAAAUCAAACUGAAUAAAAAAUUCCUCUACAAAUUUUCCUC